CUCCCAUCUGCUCUGCCAGAAACCAUGAUGAAAGAACAAGGUUCACAAAGUAGGAAUCUGCAGCUAUUUGUGAGCAUGUGGAUAGAGGUCCAGAUUAGAAGACUGUGCUUAUACAUGUGCAGCAAAAUGGCCCCAGGAAUCGUUCCCACAAUAGCUUUCGGGCAAACCAGUCAACUGAGUAAUGAAAAACCGACCAAUUGGUCUCGAGACUGUGAUGAACAGAGCUUCAAGUUAGCCUCUACCUUCCUGUGUGCGUCCUCAUCGGAGAUCAGUUGGCUUCCAGCCCCUGGCGAGCACCAGCCCGCUCCUCCCUGCCCUCCUUGCAAGAUGCUCAGAACCCUCUGCUAGCAGGUGAAGUUAAAGGAGCUCUGAAAACUCCCAAAGAGCACCUGUGCACACAAUUAAGAAAGUGUAUUUUUAGUGCAUGUUUAUUUUCUCAUUGUUAUUACUUCAUUAUGUGACUUCUUAGUGACCCUGAUGACUCAUUUGCAUCCAGAUCAUUAAAACCCUUUCAUUUGUCCAUUUAAACUGACUUGGGGUUUUAGCUAAUUAUCACUUCCUGGCAGCCUGAAGGUCAGACUAUUUCCUUUUGUUUCGCUCGGCAGUUAAUCCCCUCAUUAAAGGCGCUGGGAAAUGAAUAAUUAAACAUGUGCCAUUUUCAUAUUUCAGGUAAUGAGAGGCCCUCAGAUCCCGGAGGAUGCCUAAGAGGAAAAGCCAGGGGAGUGGUGAAGACGCUCUCUCCCGCACACAUGCCAUGGACUGUACAGAGGAAGGGUGGCCCCCUCCAAACCGCAGAGUGCAGGGAAAGUUGAACAGAGGAAGGAAGUCUCCCCCGAGGUUGGAAAGAUGACUAAAAUUUGGUUGGCCGAGAGAAGGGAAAAGAUGAUUCAAGUAAGUGAGGAAUGUGAGCACCGUGGGAAGGGUCUGGGCUGCACUCACAGCAGGACGUUGUCUGUGAGUCUACGACAGGCAGCACAGGGAAGGGACGCUGACCAGCGGGGGACAGUCCGAGGGUGGAGUGGAGGGCUGGCACUGUCUCCUGCCAUCAGUACAGAUGGCAGAGAAGGAACGAACAGGGCGAACCAGGAAAGAGCCCAUCCAGAGCUGCCCAGCAGACGUGCGGCGGACACGUUACCAAAAGGUCUGUGGGGCAGCGGCAGCCUGCACUCUGUCACAGGAGAAAGGAGGCUCUUCUCUUCUCCGUGGAACAUGGAAGCAUCUGAUAAAGAGAAGCCGUAAAGGCCUAGAUUUAAGAGGGUGAGGCUCCUAGCUGGAAAGAUCGGGCCCCCAACUGCUGGUGACAAGUAGGAUGUCCUUAUGAAAGCCGUCUGAACUUCCUGAAUGUGAGUUUUCUCACAUGUAAAGUGCAGAUAGAAAUAAUAAUUACUCUGUGGGGCUGUUGGGGGACAAAAUGACCACAGCAGAAAUGAAGAGCUCUACUGACACCAGUGCACACUCAGUAGAUGGCAGAAAGAUACUGGCCGUAUCCAGCACUAAGCCGGUGGGAAGGUCACCGUCCAGAAACAUCCCCACGUGGUGACAGGAGGUUUAUGAUGGAGCCGCCUGGGUAACCAUUGCUUUGUCCAGCCCCAAAGUCUGCUGCUGAAGUGGGGCUGGGUGGGGCAAGAGACAAAGGGCAGGAGAGCAGCCCGAGGGUGCUGACGCUUUCAGGAGCUGACCCAGGAGGGGCCCGUGCUCACACUAGAUGAACCCGCAUCCUCUGUCAACAAUGCCUAAGCAGGUGACGUAAGGCGGCGAUGAGGAGCGGGAGUCCUUGCCGAAUGACUUCCUGUCCCGGGACCUUUCAUGCCCUACGCACCCCCGAUGUUCAGAUUCUGUCUGGAAACACCCCGUUCCCAAACGUGCGCUGGGUUCCCUCUUCCUCACAUUGUGGCCCAGUUUGGAUGACCAACUCUUUUUACUUCUUGCUAAUGCAAUAAAUCAAACUGUAGUUUUACUUCCAUUUUUUGGAUACUAGCGAGACUGGGUGUCUUUUCACAUAUAUAUGGGCCGUUUGUGUUUUCUCUGAGCUUUCCACUGACUGACUUACAUGACAGAAGGGAGUUAUCUUUGGAGUCAGUCUGAGUGCAGCAUUCACUGUGGCCGCUCCUCUUAUAUUUCGUUUACCUUUUUAAACUUCCUGCCUCUGAUUAGUCUAUUUAAUUUUUGAAAGUGUAUGAUAUUUAAGGGCGCACACAUACCUUAUCUUCUUUUGCCACAUUCCUGGCAAUAUGCAGAAUUCUUUCAUCUGUUCGAUCCCUCGUGAUCCAGAUCUGAACAUGAAAACGGAGACUGUCCAGUUCAUGUUUCGUCUGAGCUUGACAUCAUUCCAGGUUAACUGAGAAGCGCCCACUGGAUGGUGCUUAGUUUUUGCGCUGUACGGAACAUCCUUGGUGGCAGACUGCUGAAGAAGGAAGUCAGGAAGUUCGGAGGCCUCGAUU
ensembl:lincRNA